rnacentral:rRNA from 1 species
GGCGUAAAGCGUCCGCAGGGGCAACUUCCAAGUCUGCCGUCAAAGGUCGGAGGCUAACUCCCGUUCCGGCAGUGGAAACUGGAGUGCUAGAGGGCGACAGGGGUAGAGGGAAUUCCCAGUGUAGCGGUGAAAUGCGUAGAGAUUGGGAAGAACACCGGUGGCGAAAGCGCUCUACUGGGUCGCACCUGACCCUCAGGGACGAAAGCUAAGGUAGCGAAAGGGAUUAGAUACCCCUGUAGUCUUAGCCGUAAACGAUGGAUACUAGGCGUGGUUUGUAUCGACCCAAGCCGUGCCGAAGCUAACGCGUUAAGUAUCCCGCCUGGGGAGUACGCACGCAAGUGUGAAACUCAAAGGAAUUGACGGGGGCCCGCACAAGCGGUGGAGGAUGUGGUUUAAUUCGAUGCAACGCGAAGAACCUUACCAGGGCUUGACAUCCCGCGAAUCUUGCUGAAAGGUGAGAGUGCCUUCGGGAGCGCGGAGACAGGUGGUGCAUGGCUGUCGUCAGCUCGUGUCGUGAGAUGUUGGGUUAAGUCCCGCAACGAGCGCAACCCUCGUCCUUAGUUGCCAGCAUUAAGUUGGGCACUCUAGGGAGACUGCCGGUGACAAACCGGAGGAAGGUGAGGAUGACGUCAAGUCAGCAUGCCCCUUAUGCUCUGGGCGACACACGUCCUACAAUGGUCGGGACAAAGGGGAGCAAGCUCGCGAGAGUAAGCGAAUCCCAGCAAGCUCGGCCUCAGUUCAGAUUGCAGGCUGCAACUCGCCUGCAUGAAGGAGGAAUCGCUAGUAAUCGCAGGUCAGCAUACUGCGGUGAUUCGUUCCCGGGCCUUGUACACACCGCCCGUCACACCAUGGAAGCUGGCCAAGCCCGAAGUCGUUACCCUAACCGUUUGGAGGGGGGCGCCGAAGGCUGGGCUAGU